rnacentral:lncRNA from 1 species
CUGCUAGGAAAUUGCAUUCACGCUGGUAUGAAAUUGAUCUCCCUAUACCUAUGUAUGCGUUUCCUUUUAACUUCCAACGGGAGUGGAACAAGUUAUCAGGAAUUUUGUCAAUUCAACCGCAGAAUUUCUUUGGACCCUUUCAGUCUGGAAUUGUUUCGCUGAUGUAUGUAUGUUGUCUGCAGAGCAUUGCGGAACACUCGAUGUACCGGAUGUCCCUCUUUGCGGAAUGGUUUGUCGGUACUGGUGCGAGAGCACUCGGAGGCACGUCAAGAAAGCCUACUGCAUCGGCAAGUCUCUUCUUCACAGUCACUGCGUUUGCGUCGUUUGUGACUAGAGUUGCACUCUAGCAUCAUGUCAAGCAAUGGACAUUGAUGUGCAGUAAUAAAAUCUCGUGCGACAUGCAUGUGAGGACAUUGGUCGGCAAUUUUUGGUUGUUCUGUUUGAUUUGAUUUUGCCGUGCAUAAUCUUAGAUUUAUUGGUUUUGUGUUUGCUUGGACUUGCUGUUAGUAAGUUUGGAAAUAACCAUAUACAACAUGAACCAAGCUUAUUGUACUUGCAGUCUUCACCGGAGAGGUAGGAGGCUUCUCCUCUAUCAGCAUGCCCAGGAUGUAACUCACGUACUCGUGCUUCUUGCCGGAUUCGGUGGCUCGCUGGACGUUCCCUAUGGAUCGGCGUGUCCAACAACGACAAUUUUGGGUUAAAACUUAUACACACAACACAUGUGCAUGAGAUUACACCUUGAUGCGACAGGAUGCUUGCACUUUGGGUUCCCCAUCUGUAGGGCUUUAUUCCAACAGACCUUUGGGCAGAGAAG